AAGUGCAAUAAUAUUUAUAUGUCCAUGUAUUAACAAAUCAUCACGACUAACCAAGUGAGUGAAGCUCCGGCCAGCUGUGAUGAUGGCUGCCUUGCGAACCAUCUCGCCCAGCAGGCACAGGACCACGCCCGCCACCCAAAUGUAUCCGUAUCUCUUGAACUGCGGCAGGUAGUACACCUCUAGUGAGAACUCGAUCCAACUGGCUGCCGCCGCCAGUCCAUAGUGCACAGAGUGGUUCAGCAUAAAGGAGUCGAGACUGAGAGUGCGCGGAUUGGCAAAGGCGAUAACGAGGAACUCCGAGUAGUGGAAAAGGGACAUGAAGCAUCCGUAGGCGCCAAAUUGCUGCCACUCGGUGGGAGCAAAGCAGAUGACCAGCACACUCACGGCCAUGGCAAAGCCCAGGAAGGAUGCCCUAAUGGCCACCUGUGGUGCAAGAAUAGUUAGCGCCAUAGCACUGAUAAGGUUUAUCGCGUCUCAUCGAUUGACUCACCUGGUAGUCGUGGUUCCGCAGCACAAACCGUAUGAUCAUGUUAAUAAGGGCGUAGUACAAAAAUGGACCCCAGAGGACGGCGCCCCACACCUGUGGCACCACUCCAUAAAGAUUCUGGGGCACCGAGGGAAUCAGGACUAGAGCUGCAGUAAUCAGAAAGCAAUAUAAACUGAUGCGGCCUUCGGAACACAGGCUGGUGCCACCGGCCCCAGGAGAAGCCACUCGGCUCUUUGCACACAUAACUGGGGAAUCGGGAUUCUUUUUGUGCUGCUGCUGUGCGCAAAAACACGGAAAUUGAGGUUUUUU
ensembl:ncRNA asRNA:CR45445 antisense RNA:CR45445